UAUUUUAAAGAGAGUUUGAUCCUGGCUCAGGACGAACGCUGGCGGCGUGCCUAAUACAUGCAAGUCGAACGAACGGAGGAAGAGCUUGCUCUUCCAAAGUUAGUGGCGGACGGGUGAGUAACACGUGGGCAACCUGCCUGUAAGUUGGGGAUAACUCCGGGAAACCGGGGCUAAUACCGAAUGAUAAAGUGUGGCGCAUGCCACGCUUUUGAAAGAUGGUUUCGGCUAUCGCUUACAGAUGGGCCCGCGGUGCAUUAGCUAGUUGGUAGGGUAAUGGCCUACCAAGGCAACGAUGCAUAGCCGACCUGAGAGGGUGAUCGGCCACACUGGGACUGAGACACGGCCCAGACUCCUACGGGAGGCAGCAGUAGGGAAUCUUCCGCAAUGGACGAAAGUCUGACGGAGCAACGCCGC
rnacentral:rRNA from 1 species